AUACAUGCAGUCGAGCGGACAGAUGGGAGCUUGCUCCCUGAUGUUAGCGGCGGACGGGUGAGUAACACGUGGGUAACCUGCCUGUAAGACUGGGAUAACUCCGGGAAACCGGGGCUAAUACCGGAUGCUUGUUUGAACCGCAUGGUUCAAACAUAAAAGGUGGCUUCGGCUACCACUUACAGAUGGACCCGCGGCGCAUUAGCUAGUUGGUGAGGUAAUGGCUCACCAAGGCGACGAUGCGUAGCCGACCUGA
rnacentral:rRNA from 1 species